rnacentral:rRNA from 1 species
AACGAACGCUGGCGGCAGGCUUAACACAUGCAAGUCGAACGCAUCGCAAGAUGAGUGGCAGACGGGUGAGUAACGCGUGGGAACAUACCCUUUCUAAGGAAUAGCCCUGGGAAAACGGGAUUUAUUCCGGAUAACGCCUACGGGGGAAAGAUUUAUCGGGGAAGGAUUGGCCCGCGUUGGAUUAGCUAGUUGGUGGGGUAAAGGCCUACCAAGGCGACGAUCCAUAGCUGGUCUGAGAGGAUGAUCAGCCACAUUGGGACUGAGACACGGCCCAAACUCCUACGGGAGGCAGCAGUGGGGAAUAUUGGACAAUGGGCGCAAGCCUGAUCCAGCCAUGCCGCGUGAGUGAUGAAGGCCUUAGGGUUGUAAAGCUCUUUCACCGAUGAAGAUAAUGACGGUAGUCGGAGAAGAAGCCCCGGCUAACUUCGUGCCAGCAGCCGCCGUAA